GAUGAACGCUGGCGGCGUGCCUAAUACAUGCAAGUAGAACGCUGAAGCUUGGUGCUUGCACCGAGCGGAUGAGUUGCGAACGGGUGAGUAACGCGUAGGUAACCUGCCUCUUAGCGGGGGAUAACUAUUGGAAACGAUAGCUAAUACCGCAUAAAAGUCGACAUCGCAUGAUGUUGACUUGAAAGGUGCAAUUGCAUCACUAAGAGAUGGACCUGCGUUGUAUUAGCUAGUUGGUGAGGUAACGGCUCACCAAGGCGACGAUACAUAGCCGACCUGAGAGGGUGAUCGGCCACACUGGGACUGAGACACGGCCCAGACUCCUACGGGAGGCAGCAGUAGGGAAUCUUCGGCAAUGGGGGCAACCCUGACCGAGCAACGCCGCGUGAGUGAAGAAGGGUUUCGGAUCGUAAAGCUCUGUUGUAAGAGAAGAACGAGUGUGAGAGUGGAAAGUUCACACUGUGACGGUAACUUACCAGAAAGGGACGGCUAACUACGUG
rnacentral:rRNA from 1 species